GUCGUCAGCUCGUGCCGUGAGGUGUUGGGUUAAGGUCCCGCCAACGAGCGCAACCCCUACUUGCAGUUACUAACAUUGAGUUGAGGACUCUAGUGAGACUGCCAGUGACAAACUGGAGAAGGUGGGGAUGACGUCAAAUCAUCAUGCCCUUUAUGACCUGGGCUACAAACGUACUACAAUGGCCAAUACAAAGAGAUGCGAAGUCGCGAGAUGGAGCGAACCUCAAAAAAAUGGUCUCAGUUCAGAUUGAAGUCUGCAACUCGACUUCAUGAAGGCGGAAUCGCUAGUAAUCGCGGGUCAGCAGACCGCGGUGAAUACGUUCCCGGGUUUU
rnacentral:rRNA from 1 species